AUUGAACGCUGGCGGCAGGCUUAACACAUGCAAGUCGAACGAGUGUCGGACGUGUGAGUAAUGCUUGGGAAUCUAGCUUAUGGAGGGGGAUAACUCCGGGAAACUGUAGCUAAUACCGCGUACCAUAGGCUUAGCCCACUGGGGAUUAGUUAGUUGGUGAGGUAAAGGCUCACCAGGCCGACGAUCUCUAGCUGGUCUGAGAGGAGGAUCAGCCACACUGGGACUGAGACACGGCCCAGACUCCUACGGGAGGCAGCAGUGGGGAAUAUUGCACAAUGGGCGCAAGCCUGAUGCAGCCAUGCCGCGUGUAUGAAGAAGGCCUUAGGGUUGUAAAGUACUUUCAGCGGGGAGGCGUUACCCGGAGAAGAAGCACCGGCUAACUCCGUGCCAGCCGCCGCGGUAAUAG
rnacentral:rRNA from 1 species